UCUGGUUGCUUCUCCUUUAGCUUCUUCUGCUUCUUCUUUGUAGCCGCAGUAGGCGGAAUUGAAGGUCUCUUUCGCUAUGUAGCCUUGCUCAUAACAAAGGGAGGUAGAUGUUGACGGCAGUUACCAUGCCAGUUUGUGAACCGCGAGCGCACGAAUCAUCAUAGCUUUUCCCUCUGAGUAUUCCAUCUAAGGUUUAUCAAUCCGUGGAUCGGCAACAAACCAACUAGGGUUUUGCAUCUAAU
rnacentral:lncRNA from 1 species